rnacentral:lncRNA from 1 species
AAUAGUUGUUGGUCUGCCAUCGAAUCUUUACUGUGGAUGAUGCGUUGGCUUUUCCUGUAGAAACAGUGAUUUAACUUUUACUAUUGAAUGAUGGUGAAAUAAGGUUUCACCUGCCUUUUACUCAGAUGAGGACGAUGUGUCCUUCUUUUUCUUUUCUUUUUUCUUUGCUUUGCUUUUUUGUUUUAAUUUUUCUUUUGCCUUU